rnacentral:rRNA from 1 species
UACGUAGGGUGCAAGCGUUAUUCGGAAUUACUGGGCGUAAAGCGUGCGCAGGCGGUUCUAUAAGACCGAUGUGAAAUCCCCGGGCUCAACCUGGGAACCGCAUUUGUGACUGUAGAGCUGGAGUACGGCAGAGGGGGAUGGAAUUCCGCGUGUAGCAGUGAAAUGCGUAGAUAUGCGGAGGAACACCGAUGGCGAAGGCAAUCCCCUGGGCCUGUACUGACGCUCAUGCACGAAAGCGUGGGGAGCAAACAGG